rnacentral:rRNA from 1 species
AGUGAACGCUGGCGGCAGGCCUAACACAUGCAAGUCAAACGGCAGCACAGAGGAGCUUACUCCUUGGGUGGCGAGUGGCGGACGGGUGAGGAAUGCGUCGGAAUCUGCCUAUUUGUGGGGGAUAACGUAGGGAAACUUACGCUAAUACCGCAUACGUCCUACGGGAGAAAGUGGGGGACCUUCGGGCCUCACGCAGAUAGAUGAGCCGAUGCCGGAUUAGCUAGUUGGCGGGGUAAAGGCCCACCAAGGCGACGAUCCGUAGCUGGUCUGAGAGGAUGAUCAGCCACACUGGAACUGAGACACGGUCCAGACUCCUACGGGAGGCAGCAGUGGGGAAUAUUGGACAAUGGGCGCAAGCCUGAUCCAGCCAUGCCGCGUGUGUGAAGAAGGCCUUCGGGUUGUAAAGCACUUUUGUCCGGAAAGAAAAGCGCUCGAUUAAUACUCGGGUGUUAUGACGGUACCGGAAGAAUAAGCACCGGCUAACUUCGUGCCAGCCGCCGCGGUAACAC